GGGAGUGCGCUAGAGGGGGGGUGGAGCAGAGGUGAGGACAGUGAUGGGCCCCUAGCCCAGGCCCGACCCAACCUAGGCCUUGCUUAGGGCGCCCGAGCAGCAGAAGGGGCGCUCGCGCGCGCGUCCGCCGCCACUACGCGACGAGCUUGACGACGACGACGACGACGACGAUCGGCGCAGGCUAGCCCCCGCUACUUGUAGCACUUCCCGCAGCGACUAGAGGAGGCGUUCAGCUGCGGGAGGAGCGGCCCGAGGCCGCCACCGCCGCGGCCACGGCCACCUCCGUCGGGGCCGCCUCCGCCCCCGCCGUGGCCGAGGGGGAGGCGGCUGUUCAAGCGGCGGCGCGGGAGGGGGUCUCAGGCGAAGUCACUGUGACCACUCCUUCCUUAGAAUUUGUGUGAGACCGUCUCCAUGCUCUUACGGUAGCUGUUCCGACUUUUCUUCUUCAGGGACGUUUAUAAACAGGACGUAAAAUAUGUUCGUAAAUUUCUGACCCUCGGUGUGGCAUAACUAGUUAGUCAACUGGCCUUUAGUCAUAGUCUACUAUGUCAAUAUCCUACAAGACCACCCGUAGGAAGACUCCAGUAGGAAUAAGAGCAAGUCCUCUAAAGAGUAAAUUGAAGUAAACAAUGACUCUCGUCGUCGACAGGUCUUAGGAGCCGAUUAGAGAGUCUCGUUAGGUGUCUGGACCCUAAUUCGUGACUUCAUAAUGGACAAAACCUCACAAAGUGGUAACAAUGAGCGAGUCACGUAUUGACAUCUCAUAAAUCAAUAAUACCUCCACACGUUUUCCAAUGACGAGAAAACUUUCGGCGUCAACAUUUCGAGUUCUGGAACUGUUCAAACGAACGGUGUCUACUUGUUGACAGUUUAUCUUGACAUCUUUUAUACUCCUACUACGUUUUCUAAGAACAUGUGUAACAAUGCUAUUAAAGUUUGAAGUACCUAAACCUCGGUCGACGUUGUUCUUAAAGUGCCCAACAGUUAUCGUGACUAGUAUGGGGUAGUUUGUUGAAUCGGUGUCAAUGAGGGUUACGAUAUUCUUCUAAACAAAGACUAUCUUUAACCGUCGUUUUUCGGUAACAAAGUCAAUACCUUCGACCGCCGCAGUUAACCAAUCAUCUUGAGAAUUCCCAGUAAGCUUCUGAUUUAAACUUUCUAGUCACCUGACUGAACAGUGAAGUGAAAUAUUGAAACAUACGAGACUCUAGUUGUUAUAGACUCUUAUGAGCACGUGUCUUAGUAAAGUCUUCGUAGCCUCCUGACCUCCAAGAUAACCUACCUGACCCUGAUGGUAGUUCGUUUAAAAGUCAGAGUUUCGUAAGAAAACAGGGGUCACUACUUUCCUCACUGUAAGACGUCGAGGUCUAUGAUAGAAACCUUUAAGACUCCCUUCGCCAAAAGCCAUUACAAUUGUUAAACGUCAAGGAUACACUUUUACCUGCCUAUGUAUUUAAACGCUUGUCGUAGACAACCGGGCGUAAAUACAAAGUCCUCAAAGUAGUCGUCUUUAAAGAACUAGGGCUCCACGGGUUGACCUUUGAACUAUCUGUUUCAUGGCCCUUAAGUGGAUGUAAUCUUAGUAAGGGUUCAGGACAACUAUAAGAAUUAUGCUAGCUUACCUUACUCAUAAGACAUUUCAAUUCGUUCCGUGAAACAAGAAAGGAAGAAGGAGGAUUACUCUAGUCCAUGACAGGACCAAGUUGACAAUGGUUUUAAAGAGAUGGGUAGAGCAACCGUAUGACCCUCGUUACACGUUCCACCUAGUAUUUCUAAGAAAGUUGACAAAAGGGCACGUAGUUUCGUACACGAUCACUUUGCCUUAACGGAUUGGUAUAUUCCUAAAAUAGUUUAUAGGAUGUUGUAAUGUACGAGUCGUGUAAAUCCUUUCAAGAGUAAAGUCGUGGUCAAGAUGAGUUUAGAAAAGCUCUCCUCCCGAACACCCUAGACUAUAAGAGUCUCUUUUAAAAGAUAAAGCCUAGUAGGGACCUCACGUAAGUAGUCUAACAACCACUCUGACUCUGUGUUUGACUAGUAAAGUGACUGCGACGGCUUAGUUGACCGAUGUUUUCAUUAGAUGGACUACAGUUGUAGGAAGUCAGUCUUCGAUAAAGGAAGAACCUCAAACGACGUUGUGACUUACUUUUGUGUUUAUUGGACGGUCUUACGAGUCGUAACAAUUCACGUGACCUUGUGACGUGAUUACCAGGACCUAACCAACGAUGGUAAGAAUUCUCGAAAGUACAAUAGGACUUUGAACGGUGACUCGUUUGAGAUCAAAGAAAGUUCAGUAACCUGCACGAAUGGUCUCAGGACUUCCAACGUACGGAAGUUCGUGUUCUUGAUUCCUUCCGUGUAGGUUCGCUACUGAAGUCCCCUUUACCAAGAGUUAGUUUGUUACAAGUCUACCUAAGAGAUCUACUCUCUUAAUUCUUACGAGAAUGUACACAGCUUAACCGAAAGUUGGAAAAGUUCCUUAUACAGUGUUAUAGAUUGGAACCUUCCUACUAUUAAAAUGUAUUACGGUUAACAUAACCCACGGAUAAACUAAAUAAGGUUCUUCUCUUGGAGGCCUUUGUACAUGACCUCGUUCAAGAACGGAAUAUAUCCAACGGAGGUAGUAGUCGUGUUCUAGUAUGUCGUUUCAACGUUGAUACGAGGUUUAUAAAUCUCUGGAAGUGAGCACGUUUUCUCGUACUUUUCUUGAAACGUCUUUACAGCUAACUAAAUAAUCAAUGGAACUCUCUCUAGUAAAACUAUCUAGCGCGCAUAAUGGUUUUAGACAAAGCGUUACCCCUCACGAAGGACGUAUAUCAGAGAAAUAACUUACCUUGAAAACUACUUCGUCAACCCCUCGUUAACCAGGAAUUACAGGAAGUCUGCAACUGGAGUAAUGAACGACUUUUACUACUUAGGUUCCGACGAAAAUCUUACAACCAACCACACCCGAUGGUUUGUGACGUUUCGAACGAUAACCUGAAGACAUUUACCGACGGUUCAGCCUUUGAGAACCUACGGGAUGAACCAUACGAACAGCUACCCUGAAAACUCUAUUUACUUUUCUGUUGUUAUUUCUUACUUCUACAUUAAUAUGAAAAGAAUUUACAAGAUGUUUUCUCGUCAUGAAGCGAAGUUGUAAUACCCGAACACCAGAAUGUCGUUAACGAGUUUCCCAGGUAAUGUUUAUCUUGAAUAACAAAGUUUCGUCCUAAUGAAUCGAAAGAAGAACUGACCAAAAGACAACUCCUUACCCUCCUGUGUCAAUAUUUUUAACGUCUCAAUUAAGUCUAAUAACCUCCUGUAUCAUAAAGGCCCUUUCUAUAGGCCUUUUACAAACGAGAGAACGCACCACUCUUUUAAUCACAGUUCGUCUUCGUAUCGAGUAACGAAAACUGUUCAGAAUCAGUAUACGAGUUCCUUUUCCCUGGACUUCGAAAGAAACUCAAGUCACCAGUACUAAGACCAUAACUUCAUUUUAGUGGACAAGUUACCGGAAUGUCAUUUCCAAAUAGAAAGACGACAACCGAAUCUCACCUUUCGAAGGGACUCUUACCAUACUACCCGGAAAAGAGGAAAAAGUGCCUUUUACCUUUUCCUACAAAUCGAUACGAACCCUUUUUAUGAGAUCAGAUACUCAGACAGUCAGUUUUCUUAGUCACACAAAACAACGGAAAUUCGGAGGGUUGCUUCGUUACCUUUAAGGAAAGACAAUGAGUAUGUCAUCCCUCUCGAAAAAGACCUCCUUCGGUCGACUCUACGAUACAUCUACCGCUAAAUCAUAGUUGACUCUUUACGUCCAUACGUUUUCAGUUACUUCACUACUGAGCGACGUCAGAACCUUGUCUUAAUUACGGGUAACCACUUCUUGGUUGAAGAGAACCAAAACUCCCGUGAAAACGAAAAUGACCAGUUUACCCGGGUCAAAUACGUAAAAGACUACGAGAGAGACGGCUUGUUUAUUCUCCGUAUAUGUUAGAACCUGGUUCAAUGUACAUGAGAAAGGAACCACUAGUUUUGAACGAAUACUUAUUACUGAGUGAAAUGUUCCCUUAAAACCUACGUUCCCUACCAUAAAGUAGCUUCUACUAAAAACCGAACUUACGUGUCCGAUCGUUAUUAUCCUGAAACAAGUUACACAGAAGACAUGAACUAUCAGAACUGUUCUCGUUCGAACUCCGUUGGUAGUACCCACCAUGUUUCAAUACGAGCUCCGUGAACGACGUCCUGUAUUAAAUAACGCAACCUCCACAGAGACAUAACAAAGGAGAAGACUAUGUAAAACUACUACGGUAGUGAGUAUCACCUCUUAGAGGGUGACCCCUAGUCAACCGUCCAGUUCAGUAACUCGAACAACGUAGACAAGACCUACCUUUACAUCGUUUAGUCGUUGUCUACGUAGAAGAAAGACCUAAGAGAUAAAAUCCGAAGAACAAAGUUAGACAAAGUGGUGUCGACGAUUUAAAGUUCUGAGAAAGUCGUGACUUCGUGAACAAAUUAUAAAACUGUUUGUCACCAUACAGUCUUUAAGAUAACUUUCUACGAGAAAGUGUUUAAAUAGACUUGGGCGUAUAGACCCGUAUAAGUUCAAUACUUCAUGUUUCUCUUGAAAUAGACAAAGACUAUGUCAUAAAACUUUGACUGCCCUUUAACAAUGGUUACAAUACACCUGAGGGAUCCUAGUAACUAUAACAUGCGGUCAAAAUAAGUCUUUUCAAUCUAAGAUCCAGAAGAUUCGGAAACGACGUAAACCAAUGACUUGUUCACUAACCUCUCUCUGGUGUAUAUCUUCUUUAAGCGUUCUAAGCAGAAGAGGAGAACUCAGACCGUCUUUACUCGAAUUUCGACUUCCAGAGAAGUGUACUAUAUUCUCGAGAACACAGGAAAAAGCUCUUUUCAGUUCUACAACGUACAUAGCUCCUACAUGAAAUGUACUAAUAGGCACGAGAAAGUGUCUUAAGUGAAGAUAGUAGAAAAGACCUCGUUCAUUUAAGACAACCUCCAACAAUGUAAAAGUAGUUAGAAGAAUUCUCCCUUAAGCUUGGUUAAGCAGAUGACCCAGAAGUUGAAGAACCUUUCGAAGACCAACCUCAAGGUAGACUCUUUUUUCCUGGUUUUGAAAAACCGGAAGGACAUCCUGCCGGAUCUAGAUACAGGCUUUUAUAUGCCUUUCCUUAUCGUCGUUGUGGGGUUGACAAAAAGAUAAGUUAUAGACUCUCUGAAAAGUUUAAAGGUGAAAGUCUAGUAAAUACACGAUGAAAAAAACUACAAGAAGAACCACCUCGGUCGGGAUUCGUCCAGAAUGUCUUUGCCAGGGUUAGAUUACUCGAUUUUCUAUCUUCGUCAUACAGUCAUCACUCGAACCGAGGUAAAAUACAAGGAGUCUAAAACCAGACGUAAAAAUUUAUAUACGUGAGAACGGUUCUACGAAGUCGUGCACGUUUCUAGAACUCACUAGAAGAACUAAACGAACUAAGUUUGGGGAGUUUACAACUUCGGUAGUACCUCAUACCAACCUCGAGAACCGAACUCUGUAGACACUUCGAACUACAGAAGUCCCUGAUGUCUGGUUAAAGCUUUCGAUUAAUACGGUCAAACCUCUGGUUACUCGAUUAAGAACACUCCUUGUACAUAAGUAAUCAGGAAAGAAUAAAAAACACGAUGCACUUUCCACCGACCGUAGUCGACCUCCUGUGUUGUUUAAAAGAAGAGAAUUUUUAACUCCUCCCUGUCAAUUGUUUAAAGACAGACGACGCUCUGUAAAAGCUUCUAUAGUAACCUUCGGACGAGCUCUGAAGAGGACUACUCCUGUAUAAGUAAAGUGUCGGUACGGCACUAUUAUAGAACAUGGAAAACUUCGACUCACUACUUAACGAACAACUAGUUUAACCUUAAUUCGAGGACAAAGUAGGUGGACUAUACACACGGAGAAGUAGGCUACCGAGUGUCUUUCUACUGUAACCGAGACGUAAACACCUUUAAUAUUUACGACUCUCGUUAUCGGUUGGACGUUCAGAAGGAACCUCAUCGUUGUAUAAAUGACUACCACUUUUUGACUCACUACUGACCACCUCGAAAAUACUGUUUUAGACCUGAGAACAAACCUUGAACUUACCGUUCCCUGUUUUGUCUAACUGUGGUUUCCCAAGUUCACGGAGACAAGGUAGAUAACCCGUUUCCCGUGCACCCAACCAUCUUAGCGAUUUAUAGGGCCGACGUCUUUACCGACGACAUCAACAUUGACCUCCGUAACCAUGCCGUAAUUCACGUUUCUGCUUGUUUUAAUGACUGUUUCGGUACUACGAUGCUCCUCUUUCCAAGGGUUCUUAGUAGAAGGUGGAACAUUAAUACAUAGAGACGUUUCGACCGAAUCUUUUACGUAGGUUCACACAGGUCGUUAAAUAUUGUUACGAAGGAUUAGAAUAAAGGCUUCUUCUAGUUACGUUUUUGUCUGACGUAAAGUAUUAAACCAGAAAUGAUUCCCAAUCUAGGGUGAUGCCCCUUGAACUACUACCACGUGCAAAGGUACAAUAAAGUGUAAACUAAGAACUCUGACAGUAUAUACCUUUCAGGUACGAUCGGUGAUCGUAGAACCCGUUUCUACUAAGACGACUUCGUUUAUCGUUAUUUCUCAGGCCGAAGUAAGAAUUAGAACAUGUCUUCCUAGCACAAGAACGACGCCGAAGACUAAAUCAUUUUAUGUACUUCCUGUGUUUCCGACUAGCGGACUCCGUUGAGGUCCUGGAUUUAAGAUUUGAACUGCUCGCGAACUAACUUCUAUAUCUUGUUGAGGUUUCGAACCUUCUACUAUAUGUCAAACGUUUCUGACGGCGUUAAAGACCCCUACUGUUAUCCUUUCGUCGAAAGUUCGAACGUAAACUACUCCUAGUCGUUUAACAACGUCUAUUUACCUAUGUAUAAAAGGCGCGAAACUCACUGCUUUCUCCUGGUACCAGACGAUCGGGGAAAGGUUUAUUAAACCACUGUAUGACCUUUGUACUGUUCUGUCUCCUAUUUACCGCCGCCGCUUACUUCGACUUCGCAUUAAUAUUCAAACUACUUGCGUAAACAGUUGGUGACAGGUGGUUUAGAUGAUUACUUUUAUGGCGGGGCAGACAACUAGGAAAGCAAUCACGGUUCUAAGGUCUUUUUUACUUCGCGAAGGAAGACUUUCCUCACGCACCUUAGUGUCCCCUACAACCAAGACUUAGUACACUCCUAUUGUUACUAUGUUCACUCGGAAGGGUUUUAUUUGGUAGUCUCUUAGUCCACAGUUCACUACGACGUUUAAGAUUUCUGAGAAGUCUAAUAGGAUGAUCAUCACACGUUUUAUCCUUUCUUGUUAGUAGAUGACCACCUCUAUUACUAAUACGACUCCACGAUAGAAGACAAGUGACACAAGAACAAUGUGGUUUUUCUUUUGAUCGACCUGUUAAAUGAUAGUGAGCUUUACGGGACGUAAAAAGAAAACUCAAAAACCAGCUUCCGUGUCCCCCGAGUAGACAAAAGUUGUUCAAAGAUCUAUUGUUCCUUAGUCUACGGUUCUCACUCGACCCUUCACACCUUUUCGACUUCCCAUUAAGACUACAUCCUGCUCCGUUACUCCGACCUAGACCACUACGAGACUACUUUUCAGUCAGAUUGUUCUAUUUUGUGGUAUCUUCCACCUUUUAUUGGUCCUAUUCUCGUCAAAUGACCUGUGCAAUGGAUGAUGUUAUAUGACGUUGCCUCUAUAAAAAACUACUACGUUUACGUGGAUAUAAAGAAUUAAAAAGGAGGGUUUUACUACGAUUUUUACAACCCAGAGAAAAUCAAAGGAACUCCUUACUACGAAACAAGGGGUUUCCUUCAUGUUUUCUGUUUUUAUCACAUUAAAGCAAACAACUGUCUUUUCAACGGGAACUUUACCGACUCUCACGGUCCCUCUCAACCUCUUUUUCCCUCUAGUCGUUGAAACUCAUAGAUUACUAAGACUUAUGAGAAAGACCUGCUAGAAUGUUGCUAAAUUGAGUUAUGGGAUAUAAAGGAACCUAUAACCGACUGAUAAGUAGUCUUUUUGAACUAAAGUUGUUCAGUAGAUGAAAGUCCCUGGACAGUUUCGGUCAACCACGUAACCUACGUUUUGCGAAAUUCCAAAAGCUUCUAUCUAUAGAAUUAAAGACACUAGGACUAUAUGGUUCAAAAAUAAUACCUAGUGUGAUGAGAUCGUACCCUUAACAAGAAAUGAUGGAAGAUUCCGAGCUCGGAAAAUGACGAGACGUGGCGUUAGAAGUCCCACCAUUUAAACUGGUACGUCUGGCAGAGAAAGUCUCGUAACUUUCGUGUAUAUCCUUGACGGAUAGUUUAUGUUCACUACAGUUCCUCGAAUGUGGACUUAAGAAAAUGUACGGACUCAAAGAACUUUUAAACUUAAGUAUAGUGAAACCCCAUUUCGUCCUGCCACUUGGAAAUCCGGUACAUCCAGAGGGAGGUACCCGUUUCCCAAGUGGUCUUCUUAAGUAAGUAUAGUUAGCACUCCGGGAACUUUCACUUAUACAUUCGAGAUUAGAAGUAGUGACCUAACUGGAGUAUAAACCAAUAUUCGUCGCACCGUUCGGACGGCAACUCCGUCGUUUAUAUAAGAUGAUAAACUGUAUGCUCCCACGACAACUAAACCUUUUGUACCUACUAUACAACGUCUUCAGACGAUAGCUUCUGGUCUAACGUUUAAAACCUGUCUGUGGGUAAGUUUAAAAAGCCUUCUUUGUGGGUUCUUCUCCUGGAGGAUAUGGUUAACGUGUGGGUGAUAUAAAACGAGGUGUCAGCUAUUGUCACUGAAGACAACAAGGAUCACGUUAGUCGAGAAGUAGUAGACAUAACAAGUAACCGAACAACCUAAGUUUGUAACAGAACUACUCGCUCCCCGAGUAUGACAGUCAUUUUGAAACCGAUUGUUGCGUUAAUGUCAGACCACCUUUGAAGUGUAAAAGACCUAGUGACCUCGGAAAGAAACCUUAACCAAGACUACAAUAAAGAGGGGCUUUUCAACGGUGAAGGAACCGACUUUUACAACUCAAGCCUUCUGUUACGGACCGUCGACAGGUUUAAGUACCACUGUUAAUAAAUUAAAAUACACCAUUAACCCUCUUGUCAAAGGUCUAGUAAAGGGAAUCACUACCUUCUUAACACGUCUCGUAGGCUGUCGUAUUUCUACAACAAUCGACACAACGUCAAAGUAGACUACCUUCACAUUAACGUUGACCUUCAAUACUGUGCUGAUAAUACUAAACCGUACGUAAGGCUCCUUCUAGUUUACUGUUUUCUAGUUUCUUACGUUCAUUACUGGAUAGUUGAUUCCUGGUACAAUAGUAGCUUUUGGGAAGAGUGUAGAACACACCAGUACUACUAUAAUAGUGUACGAAUAAACAAUCAUUCCUUGAACUAUAACAAUAGUCACCUAGUUUCCUACCUUGAACAUAUAAAGUAUGCGACGCACUCCCCUGAAUACAAACUAGGUAAGCUGUAGGUAGUCUUAGGUUACCGGCGGACUUAACGUACCUUGAUUCAACAACACCUCUCAAAUACCAUACACGACCACUAGUACCUGUUUAACAAGACGCCAGAUACCUAAGAGAGCCUCAACAAACCUCCAUACUACCUAGACCCUUCUGUUAUUGAAGAAAUCGACACUGAGCGCUCCUCACGAAAAACCGACCUUGGUUCCUACCGUCGAACUAACAUAAAAGUUAUCUUUUAGGUAAUGAAGCGUUUCCGCCGUAUGUUGCUUUGUUUCAUUUUAGAAGACAUCCAAUCACCACACACUAAUUCGUCGCGAGGAACGACGUUCAAGACUUGUUUCGAACGUCUUACGAGUUUAACGUAUCAGUUAGACGGGAAGCCCUAGAAAGGUCCCCUCCUCUAACAACACUACGAGAGCAGUUACCCCCAGUGGCCGUCAUUUACAUUUUCUCUUGUCAAACAACGAGAAGACAUGUAUGUCGAAAUCUAACUCCUCAAUCCUAAGAUGUCCUACGGACUCGACUAGUUCCAGGUGUUCGCCUAUUAAGAAGAUUGACGUUUUACCUAUGCACCAUUGAUUAUGGUGUCAUGAAAGAGGAAAACUAAAAGCUCUACUCGAGCCUAUGGCACCACGACCUGACGAUCAACGUAUCGAUCACGUACGCUCACAUUGUAUUAGAGCACGCCACAAGAAUGUUCAAUC
rnacentral:rRNA from 1 species